rnacentral:rRNA from 1 species
UCGUUCCUACGGGGGGAGCAGUGAGGAAUAUUGGUCAAUGGGCGCGAGCCUGAACCAGCCAAGUAGCGUGAAGGAUGACUGCCCUACGGGUUGUAAACUUCUUUUAUAAAGGAAUAAAGUGAGGCACGUGUGCCUUUUUGUAUGUACUUUAUGAAUAAGGAUCGGCUAACUCCGUGCCAGCAGCCGCGGUAAUACGGAGGAUCCGAGCGUUAUCCGGAUUUAUUGGGUUUAAAGGGAGCGUAGGUGGAUAGUUAAGUCAGUUGUGAAAGUUUGCGGCUCAACCGUAAAAUUGCAGUUGAAACUGG